rnacentral:lncRNA from 1 species
UUCGUGUGUGUUCUCGAACGUACAGGGGCUUCAAGAAGCCAAGCCCUAGUUCUUCAAAAAGCUUCAAAUUAAGGGAUGAUUCAAGGCUCAAAUUCGUGAAUUCUCAUGGAUUAAUGAUCACCAUCACAAGGGGAUCACAAGGAACGUGUCAAGGAGAGCUCAAGCAUAGGAGGAUAACGGGUCAAGAUAAGGCAAGGUCACAAAUACACUUAUUGGAGCACUCAAGGUAAGUGAUUUCUAUAAUCACUUCUUAUUUUAUUUAAGUAAAGUAGCGUUAGUUGAUUAAGCAUGAUGGGGUUUGAAGUUUCAUAUGGUUUUGGUCGUAUGAAAUUGGUAAUUUUAGCUUAGUAGACCGAAUGGGACAAUAUAAAGUUGUAAUGCUAUGAAGAAUAAUGUCUAUGUAAUGGCUACGGUAUGUAACCGGGUAAUGGGUAAAAUUGCACAUAAGUGCACCAACCGAGAAUGGGGACUUAGGUUAAUGGGUCAAAGUGAAGGUAUACUUUAGCACGGAACGUUUGUACAAGCAAUGUCGAUAGUAUUUCAUGUGCCCGGUUAGUGUAAGGUGUUAUAACAUUAACAUUAUGUGAGCCUUAAGUGUAAACAUAUGAGUUGUUGAUAAAUGCAUGACGGGUCGAAUAAUUCGUAAUGGAUAAUAAGCCGAAAAUGUAUAAGUUAAGAAUUUCCUUAACCCGGAUGUUGGAUUUUAAGUUCACAUAAUAGAAUGUUAGUUUACAAUCAUGCAGGAAGAAACGGGAGGUUAAUCGGGUAAACGGUUUAAAAGCUAUGCAAGUUUUUGUGCGUGCGAACGACAAAACAACACAGCAGAAAAAUGGCAAAACUAGAGGCCGUCGCCGACGCCCCUAUGGGUCGUCGCCGACGCCUUGUGCAUUUUCAGUUUUCUCCGACGCCUAAUUUUCCUGUCUACGGAGGUUUCUGGCUACGCGAAAAACUAAUAUCCGUCGCCGACGCCCUAUAGGGCCGUCACCGACGGCCUCCACAUGUUUUAAAUGCUGAAAUUCAUUAAUUAAGUUAUUUUGUGUACCGUAAGCUUCGGUAUAUUAACCGUGGUCUACGACGGGCCUCCCAAGCAUAAUUUUGAAUGUUUCCUUGAUGCUUUUGGAUCAUAAAUCCAAGUCUAAGCACUCCAUAAUUAAUGUACGAGUAUGAUAAGUGAAUGCGAAUAGGUUAAAUCAAGAAUUGAAUGUAAGUACGUAUGUGUAGACAUGAUUAUGUAAGCAUUUAGUUAUGUAUAUAGAUAAGUAGAUGUGUAGAUAUGUAGGUGCGUAUGAUUAGACGUAUGAAUAUACGAAUGCACGAAGUAGGAUUUAUCACCUAUGAAAAGAAUGGGACAGGUAUGCAUGUAUACAUGGUUUCAAUACGUUUGAGUAUGGACGUUACUAAUGAUGUGCUUGAGAUUGGAAUGUAAUGCAGGGAUGAGAACGUCAGACUCUUGUAGAAUUGAAGCCGAACCUGGAAGCCGAACUCGAAACAAAGGAAUCCGAGAGGAUAGUCGAAUGAAUUAAAGUUUAUGUUGUUGAAUGUUAUAUGAUUUUUAAUUGUACCAGAUUAUUGUUGUAUGAUGUUGUCAAUGACUAAUGGUUAAGUUGUAUGUGAUGUCCACAGGUACUACACGGAUUUCUUCUACCACUAUCGAAGAUAAGCGGGCAUAGAUCGAGUCGAAUAACAAGGAUUGUACGGAAAGAACGGUUACGUAGUCUUAAUUUUGUAACACAUUAAUUUGUAAAAAGGGAAGUGAAUUUUGUAAGCUUCUUGAAUGUGUGUAUUAUUUUAAGAUCGUAAAGGAAUUUUUAAAGCUAUU